UUCAGUGGUUUUGUAUUACUUAACUUUCCUCACUGUAAUACAUUUUUAGUCUCAGUAAAUUUCUUGUAGGCUCGUCGUGGCGGGUGGCGGGCAGAAGACAAGAGGAGGAGCAGCUCGCCGGGAGUAUUAUUGUAUUUCUGUUCAUGACGGAGGCAGGAGGAGGCCCCUAUUGCGCGGCCCAUGAUUCCGGGGCAUGGUUUGAGAAGUAUUACAGAAGCAGAACCCUGCUGGCCUCCAGUCUGUCCCAUGAAGGGCCACAAAUCUUAACAGCCUGCCUAAGGAAGUCCGAAACCUAACAGGUUGCCCAGUAAACAGGUUUAAGAAUGGGCUGGACAAGCUGCUACCAACGGUCUCAGACGAACCUCCAGUGCCGGGCUACACCUCAAGAUGUAGGACUUCCAACACGAUACUGGACCAAGUCACCCUGUUGAGCAGGGAUGUCAGGACUGGGAGCAGCGGUGGACCACCAUGACUCUGAGGCGGAGCCUCUAAACAACACCAAGUAAACCAACGUGGGUAAGUCCAUCUGCAGCCCGCUCACCCUGUACCUCCCAAGUGCUAUGCCACAGUAAUCCCAGAUGACUCGUGCAUUAUGCAGAUUGUGAUAGUUUUGUGCAUCGUUUCACCUACUUAACACACUACUUCUAAAAGAUUACCUGGAACCAGUGUGGAGCCAAUGGCCAGCCAGGUGAACACACGUCGCCCGCUGCAAACACAUUCUCCAUGGUUGUCUUCAUCUUUUCGUCCACCAACAGCCCGCCAUCC